AGAUAUUCUCCAAAUAUACUAUCUACUUUACCACCAUUAUUUUGCCAACAAAAUAAUUUAUCAAAAGAAGUAGUCCACAAGCUUUAGCCCACAAAGGAAAUUAGGUUCAUAAAUAUAUUCUUAGCAAGAGAAUCUGCUAGCCCAUUAGAGAAUUAACAUUUUUAGUGUAACGCUAUGACCGUUGGAUACCAGUGGGCCCCAUGUCUUCUUUCGAGCCCAUGGGCCCACUCUUGUCCAACGGUCGGUACGCUACGUCUGGAAGACUUUAAAAACUUGUUACCGGCCCUACAAAUCACCACAUGAUCUUUUGCCAUGUUUUGUCCUCACUCGCAUAGUUCCUACAAUCAUUUCUCGGAAGAUCACACAUCCUGAAACCACUACAAAAAAAGUCUUCAUCGUUAGCACAAACCAUCUGCUAUCGUAUGUAAUACACAGCGAAUUCACAAAUGCUAUGUUUGCGGCAGCUAUAGUAGGUGUCACCCCUUUGACAACAUCGUUUUGUACGCUAUGGUAUAUGUUGUUACGAUAUCAACGAUAUAACGCCAUUAUAGAGUUUUGAUAUAGCACUUU
rnacentral:sRNA from 1 species